AAUAAGUGUGGCUUAGGAGGAGGGGGGUGGGAAUGAUCCCUGGGUCAGAGCUGGGGCAGGUGAAGCUCCUGGGGCUGGGAGACGGAAUCCCGGAGGGCAGAGCCACCCGUGGGCAAGGAGCUGGAUGAAGAAUGAAGGUCACUGAGAACCGCGGGAACCAAAAUAAAUAAAUAAAGUCGGAAAGGCAAGAGCUCAGCGGAGAACCGUCUACACGGAAACCACCCAAGCGAUGAGUUCUCUCAGGUCUGAGGUCUCUUCGGAGCGGCCCAGCGGGCUCUGCGCGCUCCCCUCCGGUUCAGCUCCUGGUCCAGGGGAGGCCGGAUCCUCAGUUCAGCGCGCCCGACCAAUCAUUUCUCUGGUCACUGCUUCCCUCCAGCUCCACGCGCAGUCCCGCAUUGCUCGGCCAGCUUUGUGGCUGUGGGUGAGUGUCCCGGAGGCAAUCGCUGGGGGAGGGGUUGGGGCAGAACUCAGGUUUUUUACCUCCUUUUUUCCUUCUUUCCUUUCCUUCUCCCACCUCCCGCUUUUUCUUUCUUUCUUUCUUUCUUUUUUUUUUUUUUUUUUUUUGUUGUUGUUGUUGUUGUUGUUGCGGUUGCAAAUAUCAGUGCCCUUUCUGGCUUCCUAAUUUUUUUUUCUUCCAAGGAUUAGAGAGAGGGCAGGUCCUCACAGAUCGCCAAAGAAAUCCCUAUCGUCCUAGUGACCACGGUUCCACCAGGUCUGUACAGAUUGUCUCUUCUGCUGGCUCCGCCGCGGCUCGUGGCUGUCUCUCUCCCUGAGUGCCUGUCCCCAGUCCCCCGUCCCCGUCCGUGCGUCUCUCUCAGGCUCCGGCGGCUUCGUCACUGCUCUCGGCUGUUCCCAGCCGCUCUGGAAGCCCCCUAGCCUUAAUGCAGCGCUCGACUACGUCACUGCGGGCGGCGGCCAAUCAGAGACUCGCGGUCCCUCUGUAAACCAUUAUCCAUCCCGGCGGCCGGGGAGAGUGCAGCGAGACCGCUUAUAGUGAAUCAGCCACGGGACCCGCGGCAAAGUACGCGGCGCGGCGUGGCGCGGCGGCCCGGUGAUCAGUCCUGACCCGCUCUAGGAAUACGGCGUCCACUCCCCAACGCUUUGGAGCAUGCUUUACUGGGUUCUUGUCAACUCCCCUUCCUCAGGACCCAGGACUGACUCGGAAUCUUCACCAGUCCCGGGGUCAUUUCUCGCCAGGAGACAGCUUGUACCACUAGGCUCUCAAAAAACAGUUUCCUGGCCUGAUCAGAAUGAAGAACACAUGAUAAUUGUCUGGUAUGAAGAACGGGAGCUAUCACCCAAGGCCCAUGGAUGACAUGUUUUGCCCACCAGCAAAUGAAGAGAACGAAAGGAGCAGAUACCAAGUGGGAUGACAUUGGACUGGAGGAAGAAAGGGAAGAUGACCUCCUGAAAGGCCUGAGCAGCGAUAGAGCUCUCAGAUGAUCCUUACUGCCAUGUGUUGCCCUGAAUUGUCUGACAGGCUUUAAUUGUGUCUGCUCUCAAUAACCUGUGUACUCCCAUUUGCCAAAUGCUGUUCUGCCAAAGCAUCCUCAAAUAAACUUGCUUAAAAUGA